AGGGUUUAGGACACAACAAGAAGACCUGCAAAGCUGUAU
rnacentral:sRNA from 1 species